rnacentral:rRNA from 1 species
AGUCGAGCGGUAACAGGAAUUAGCUUGCUAAUUUGCUGACGAGCGGCGGACGGGUGAGUAACGCGUAGGAAUCUGCCUGGUAGUGGGGGACAACAUGUGGAAACGCAUGCUAAUACCGCAUACGCCCUACGGGGGAAAGGAGGGGAUCUUCGGACCUUUCGCUAUCAGAUGAGCCUGCGUGAGAUUAGCUAGUUGGUGAGGUAAAGGCUCACCAAGGCGACGAUCUCUAGCUGGUCUGAGAGGAUGAUCAGCCACACUGGGACUGAGACACGGCCCAGACUCCUACGGGAGGCAGCAGUGGGGAAUAUUGGACAAUGGGCGCAAGCCUGAUCCAGCCAUGCCGCGUGUGUGAAGAAGGCCUUCGGGUUGUAAAGCACUUUCAGGAGUGAGGAAGGGUGUACGGUUAAUACCCGUAUAUUUUGACGUUAGCUCCAGAAGAUGCACCGGCUAACUCUGUGCCAGCAGCCGCGGUAAUACAGAGGGUGCGAGCGUUAAUCGGAAUUACUGGGCGUAAAGCGCGCGUAGGCGGUUUGUUAAGUCGGAUGUGAAAUCCCAGGGCUCAACCUUGGAAUGGCACCCGAUACUGGCAGGCUAGAGUACGGUAGAGGGGUGUGGAAUUUCCUGUGUAGCGGUGAAAUGCGUA